ACCCCUGUGGUAUAGUGGCAGCACACUUGCUUUGGGUGCAAGUGGUCCUGGGCUCGAGACUCAGCAAGGCCC